CCUACGGGAGGCAGCAGUGGGGAAUCUUAGACAAUGGGCGCAAGCCUGAUCUAGCCAUGCCGCGUGUGUGAUGAAGGUCUUAGGAUCGUAAAGCACUUUCGCCAGGGAUGAUAAUGACAGUACCUGGUAAAGAAACCCCGGCUAACUCCGUGCCAGCAGCCGCGGUAAUACGGAGGGGGUUAGCGUUGUUCGGAAUUACUGGGCGUAAAGCGUACGUAGGCGGAUUGGAAAGUUGGGGGUGAAAUCCCAGGGCUCAACCCUGGAACUGCCUCCAAAACUAUCAGUCUAGAGUUCGAGAGAGGUGAGUGGAAUUCCAAGUGUAGAGGUGAAAUUCGUAGAUAUUUGGAGGAACACCAGUGGCGAAGGCGGCUCACUGGCUCGAUACUGACGCUGAGGUACGAAAGUGUGGGGAGCAAACAGGAUUAGAUACCCUGGUAGUCCACACCGUAAACGAUGAAUGCCAGUCGUCGGGCAGUAUACUGUUCGGUGACACACCUAACGGAUUAAGC
rnacentral:rRNA from 1 species